rnacentral:rRNA from 1 species
GACGUAGGGCGCGAGCGUUGUCCGGAUUUAUUGGGCGUAAAGAGCUCGUAGGCGGCUUGUUGCGUCGACCGUGAAAACCCGUGGCUUAACUGCGGGCUUGCGGUCGAUACGGGCGGGCUGGAGUUCGGUAGGGGGAGACUGGAAUUCCUGGUGUAGCGGUGAAAUGCGCAGAGUAUCAGGAGGAACACCGGUGGCGAAGGCGGCCUGCUGGGCAGUGGCUGACACUGAGGCGCGACAGCGUGGGAG